AUGGACGUUACAAAACUUAACUCAGAACACGAAACUCUCAAACGGAAAAUAAAAGAAAUAAAGUUUGACGGUUGUGUUCCUUCUCAUAGUAGCAGCAGGCAGGCACGCUGGAACCGCGCUCAAAGAACAAUGAUGACUACCGCAUGGCUAGAUGCUACAAGCUAAAGCUAGGUAGCAAAGCUACAAGCUAAAAGCUAAGAGCAGGCAUGACUGAUAGCAUGAGCAAGGCUGGAACUAAAAGCCGACAUGGCUAAUAGCAGCAGCUAGACUAGAACUAAAAGCAAGAUUUAAUCGUGUCCAAAGUUUUUAAACUUCCUUGUUGGCCACCCCUCAAAUGUUGCCUUGACCAAUCAGAUAUGUUCUUGGGGUGGGUAUCAUAAAUCAUUUGUUUAUCUUACCAAGCAUGUGGUUCUUGCCUCACAGGGUCUAAUUUUGGACAUGAUUCCUAUAACAUGAUUAUGAUAUAUUUUACAAAUAAAUGAUUGUCAGGACAAUAUCAAGCAAGAAAAUGUGAUUAUUUCAAUACUAGACAUGACUAGGUAUCCUAUAGUUAUCAAAAGACAUACACAAUAAGUGAUUAUACAUGAUAGUCAAAUGUGUGGGUUACACGUAAAUGAAUAUGGAGUUAAGCAAUGGAAUGAUUCAUUCAUAAGUCUUUUUUGAGUUCAUUCUGGUCCAUAUAUAAUGUAUAAAAAGGGUUUCUUUGCCAUUCUCUGGCAAAGGACUUUUCUGUGAAGACAAAGGUUUAAAGCCCUUCCCCCUUUCAGUCUGGUUUCACUGGCUGGGGGGGGGGGGAGUCAAUGCAAGUAUUUAACUUGAUCUCCUGGGUUUACAUGUGAUGUCCAGCGUUGCAUUCCAAUCACGAACAAUAAAUUUGACAAUCUCUUCUUCGAAUUAAAAUUGUUAAUAAUUGUUCUAUUGGUGUUAAUGUUGAAAGCUGUUGUGUGAACAAGUUGGUUGGUUGGUUGGUUAUCUUGCUUGGUUCUUGUGGCACUAGAACUGAUUUAUGACUUCCUGAGGAAUUCGGCUCUCGUUUCAAUGCACACAGCUCUGAUAGACUCUUUGAUUUGUCUGAUUCGACUCAUUUCUGCUACAGAUCAUCUCUUCUCAGGUGUUCUGUAUCCAGAAUGAAGCUUGUGUAAGUCCUAGUUACCAGAAAGAGUGUGUCUGAACCCUGAACAAUAUCAGGAAGGCUAUUCCAGAGUUUGGGAGCCAAAUGCGAAAAAGCUCUGCCUCCUUUAGUGGACUU
rnacentral:lncRNA from 1 species